rnacentral:rRNA from 1 species
AUUGAACGCUGGCGGCAGGCCUAACACAUGCAAGUCGAGCGGAGCGGCGGACGGGUGAGUAAUGCCUAGGAAUAUGCCUGGUAGUGGGGGAUAACGUCCGGAAACGGGAGCUAAUACCGCAUACUAUCAGAUGAGCCUAGGUCGGAUUAGCUAGUUGGGGGGGUAAAGGCCUACCAAGGCGACGAGCCGUAACUGGUCUGAGAGGAUGAUCAGUCACACUGGACCUGAGACACGGCCCAGACUCCUACGGGAGGCAGCAUUGGGGAAUAUUGGAAAAUGGGCGAAGGCCUUAUCCAGCCAUGCCGCGUGUGUGAAGAAGGUCUUCGGAUUGUAAAGCACGUUAAGUUGGGAGGCGGUACCAAAAGAAUAAGCACCGGCUAACUUCGUGCCAGCAGCCGCGGUAAUAC